AUACGGAGGGUGCAAGCGUUACUCGGAAUCACUGGGCGUAAAGCGCGCGCAGGCGGCUUGAUAAGUUGGAUGUGAAAGCCUACGGCUCAACCGUAGAACUGCAUCCAAAACUGUCAAGCUAGAGUCUGGGAGGGGAAGAUGGAAUUAGUUGUGUAGGGGUAAAAUCCGUGGAGAUAACUAGGAAUACCAAAAGCGAAGGCGAUCUUCUGGAACAGUACUGACGCUGAGGCGCGAAAGCGUGGGGAGCAAACAGGAUUAGAAACCCCAGUAGUCC
rnacentral:rRNA from 1 species